GACGAAGGUGGCGAGCGUUGUUCGGAAUCACUGGGCAUAAAGCGCACGUAGGCGGUGCCGUAAGUCGGAUGUGAAAUCCCCGGGCUCAACCUGGGAAUUGCAUUCGAUACUGGAUAGCUAGAGUUCGGCAGAGGGAAGCGGAAUUUCUGGUGUAGCGGUGAAAUGCGUAGAUAUCAGAAGGAACAUCAGUGGCGAAAGCGGCUUCCUGGACCAGAACUGACGAUCAGGCACGAAAGCGUGGGGAGCAAACAGG
rnacentral:rRNA from 1 species